AUUACAGUAUGUCAUAGCGUUAUAAAUAUUAGGCAGGGUUUUCCCCAGGAGCGGGGAGGAGUCUGCUUAUACGGACGUUGUGUGCGACGCCAAGGACUGUGUGUCUGGAGACAAGAAAUAAUUUUUCAGACUUAUCUUUUUAAUUGUUUACAUUGGAUAUGGAAUUUAGAACGACUAGAAGAACAGAUUGAGCUAGAAACGAAACUCAUAAUCUUGGUCGAGUUUUUCAGAAAAAGGUUUUCCAAGUUAGAGGACUUCUCCUAUUUUUGAAAUUUUAAUAUACUUUAUUUAGCAAGUUCUGAAGUGUUUAGACAGACUUUAUUAUUUUAAAAUGUGAAAUUUUAAAUUACUUUUUUUCAAACCUAUUUUAGGUUAAAAAAAAGACGUUCUGUAACUGCGAGGCUUUUAAACUUUAAGAAAUAUAUUGAAAGUUUAAUCACAAACUAAUAUGAAAUGUGUUCAAGAUUACUCUUGAAAAAGGGAAAAAGGACAUUUAUAUGACAGGGUGCACUUUUUACACUAAUAUGUGUUAGGAAACAAAUUGGAGAUACAAACUCUACACUUAUAAAUUAUUUAUGGUUAGAGGCCUUAAUAAUAUGCGUUAAGUAUUAAUGGAAAAUUUUUUGUGUUUAAUAAAGAGCAUGCAUUACAAUUUUUAGGCCCUCAAGUUUUGUGAUAAUGUUCUUUUGAAAUUUUUAUUUUUCAAAUAAGAAAAUUAUUUAAAACAUUGAAUAUAUAAUGUAGAGUAUGGAAUAUGGUAUGUUUCUCAAGAUUAGCUUUAAAAAACAUUUUCUAAGACAUUAUAAAAUACCAUUAGUAUUAAAUUUUUCAAUGGAUAAAUAUAUGCAUGUACAUCCAGACUCAUAUAUACUAUUGAUUGUAUAGAUUUAUUCAAAGCAACUUCCACUUAAUGCUCUAUAAUUUUAGUAUCAAUGUCAAUGAACAGUGUUUUAUAUGAAACAAAAAAACAUUAGUUCUGUCUUUUAGAUGAAAUGUAUUUUUAAUGUAAAGAAUGAUGCUAUUAACCUUCCACAAGAAGAUUUUGGUUUUGAAUUAUUUUUCCUGUAAUGAUCAUAUUAUCACCUAUCCAUAUUGUCACCUGCCCACCAGUGAUCAACAGCUUCAAAUUCUGUUAUGGAUCCUCAGGUCGACAUUAUUGGUGGUGGUUUUGUUUGUUUCUUCAUUUCAUCCUACUUUGUUUUAGUUAUUGGAAAGUCUGUGACAGUAGAAUCAUGACAUUGACCUAAUUUGUACCUUGGAGAAAAGAGAAUUCUGCCUGCUUAUACUAUUUGCUUAUACUGUGUGCUUCCAUGUAAUAUAUGGCAGAAUGCUAUAAUAAUACUGUACUUUGUCCUUACUGCAUUUUUUCAGUUCCAGACACUUUGCAAAUAAAUGCAUUAUUUGCUGUAUUUUAACCACUUGUGCCUCUCCCAUAAAAAGAGAGAAUCACUGAAGUUAAUUGCUUAUCUAGGAUUAAGAUAAUGGCUCAUCCAACAAUCUGAUGUUUAAUUUGGCCUUCUAUGUAGAUUCAUCCACUAGGAAGAAACUCUCUUAGUAAAGAAGGUUUGCUCAAGAGAUGCAAAUGAUCAGCUCAUGAUUCAGAAACUGCUUCCUGCUCACAUGCUCAGUGUUACAUUCGUUAAUACAUUAAUGUCUACAAAGAUAUCCAUAAAAUGAUGGGCAUAUAAUUUUA